CUCCAGCCAGCCUGUGCAGCUCCCAGAAAGGCUCAAUUAAGAAGGCAUUUCCAGACCUCGCUGCGGCUGGCACCACCACAUUUUUUGCAUUCUCUGCCUCUGCGGCUCCUGGAGGCAUGAGGGCAAAUUAACCCAGAAGAGUACUUCAGAGAACACAGACAAACUGCCGUGCAGUGAAGAGAAUGUGGCAGGAAGCCCUGGUAUUCUAGAAGAAGCUCUGCCCACUCCAGACAGGAUCCGCACGCCUAGUGCCAUGUCUAUCUCCAAGGAGAUCACAUUCUAGAGCCAAGGACCGCCACUGAGAAGAAAGUAACGUGAGCCGUCAGAAUGCAUACCUGGAGCGCUCCAGGAAGGAAAUCUCAGCCCCGGCAUCCUCCAUGGUCACACGGAGAGGGCGGGUGUCCUUGUAGCUUUGGCCCUGAGAUGGGAGCUAGAGCUGGACACAGGGUUCUAGUCCUGGCUUUGCUGUAAACAGCUCCCAGACCUGGAGCAAGUGCCUUACCUGUCUGUGUAAUGUGGGAGCUGAUGUGGAUCAUCUUUAAGCCCUCUGCAAGAUGGACACGCUGGGAUCAUAAUAAGGACACAUGCCAGUCAGGCCAGGUUCUUCAUUUGAAAACCUUUAUACAUUUUUUUCUCUUCAGCCUUAAUAAAAUUAACUCACCUAGCAUUGUAUAUAUGUCAAGCAGUUUUGAUCAUCCAAAUUUUUUAUUGUUGGCUGACCUCUAGCCAACAAUUCAUUUAUUUUCUGACCUUUUAAGAUGUUUCGUAGCUGCCAUUUCAUGUAUCUGAAAAAUGAGAUGUGAAAAGAAUACACAUAUUUAAGAACAA
rnacentral:lncRNA from 10 species